GAUGAAGAACGUAGCUAAAUGCGAUAAGUAAUGUGAAUUGCAGAAUUCAGUGAAUCAUCGAAUCUUUGAACGCACAUUGCGCCCCUUGGUAUUCCGAGGGGCAUGCCUGUUCGAGCGUCAUUAUAACCCCUCAAGCUCGGCUUGGUGUUGGGGCCUGCCGCACGGGCAGCCCUUAAAAUCAGUGGCGGUGCCAUCUGGCUCUAAGCGUAGUAAUUCUUCUCGCUAUAGAGUCCCGGUGGAUGCUUGCCAUUAACCCCCAAUUUCAAUGGUUGACCUCGGAUCAGGUAGGGAUACCCGCUGAACUUAAGCAUAUCAAUAAGCGGAGGA
rnacentral:misc_RNA from 1 species